rnacentral:tRNA from 2 species
GCGCCCGUAGCUCAGCUGGAUAGAGCACCAGACUACGAAUCUGGGGGUCAGGAGUUCGAAUCUCUUCGGGCGCACCA